GGCCAAGGAUAUGUUCUCAACAAUUCUUCCAUGAGCAACAUUAUCAUCAUACUCUUAGUACUUCCAAUAUUCUAAAUUCUCCUUUUAUCUUGAAUCACUUUUUCUUGUUGGCAUUUGAAAGUUCCAUGGCAUGCAUGCUAAUUUAGAAUUGCACAGUCAUUAUCAACAAUCGAGUUUCGAUAACUACUUUGAUUUGAUAGGGAAUUUUUCAUUUCAAUUCUUUAAUGCUAUGCAUUCCUCUUUUACUCAAAUGUGUAGGUUAAUUACAUGCCAGGAAACUUAUACUGACCACAUUCUUGCUUUUAAAUUUCUUUCUGUCCACAAUAUGUGAUAAAUUCUUGAAACAAAGUGCCCAUUCUUUGUAGAUGAGAAAUACAUACCAACAAAGCUAUCAAGGAAAUCUGCAGUUUGGGACACUAUUCCUAUUAUUGCUAGAUAAUUCUGACCUUGUUUUGAUAUUGCUUAAUUUAUUUUGCAGGUUGGCAUACAAC
rnacentral:misc_RNA from 1 species